UGUUUUCCUACCUUUGAGGAAAACGAC
rnacentral:piRNA from 1 species